GCCAUUGUGGUUUAGUGGUUAGAGUGUCGGUCUAAGACUGGGGAGACCUGGGUUCAAAUCCCCACUCAACCUUGACA